rnacentral:rRNA from 1 species
GACGGAGGGGGCAAGCGUUGUCCGGAAUUAUUGGGCGUAAAGGGCUCGUAGGCGGUUCGUCACGUCGGGAGUGAAAACUCGGGGCUUAACCCCGAGCCUGCUUCCGAUACGGGCAGACUAGAGGUAGGCAGGGGAGAGCGGAACUCCUGGUGUAGCGGUGGAAUGCGCAGAUAUCAGGAAGAACACCGGUGGCGAAGGCGGCUCUCUGGGCCUUACCUGACGCUGAGGAGCGAAAGCGUGGGUAGCGAACAGG